GGGGGUGUAGCUCAGCUGGAAGAGCGCAGCGUUCGCAAUGCUGAGGUCAGGGGUUCGAAUCCCCUCACCUCCACCA
rnacentral:tRNA from 1 species